rnacentral:rRNA from 1 species
AUUGAACGCUGGCGGCAUGCCUUACACAUGCAAGUCGAACGGCAGCACGGGAGCAAUCCUGGUGGCGAGUGGCGAACGGGUGAGUAAUAUAUCGGAACGUGCCCAGUCGUGGGGAAUAACGUAGCGAAAGCUACGCUAAUACCGCAUACGAUCUACGGAUGAAAGCGGGGGAUCGCAAGACCUCGCGCGAUUGGAGCGGCCGAUAUCAGAUUAGGUAGUUGGUGAGGUAAAGGCUCACCAAGCCGACGAUCUGUAGCUGGUCUGAGAGGACGACCAGCCACACUGGGACUGAGACACGGCCCAGACUCCUACGGGAGGCAGCAGUGGGGAAUUUUGGGACAAUGGGCGCAAGCCUGAUCCAGCAAUGCCGCGUGCAGGAUGAAGGCCU